rnacentral:rRNA from 1 species
AUUGAACGCUGGCGGCAGGCCUAACACAUGCAAGUCGAGCGGAUGAGAGGAGCUUGCUCUUCGAUUCAGCGGCGGACGGGUGAGUAAUGCCUAGGAAUCUGCCUAGUAGUGGGGGACGACGUUUCGAAAGGAACGCUAAUACCGCAUACGUCCUACGGGAGAAAGUGGGGGAUCUUCGGACCUCACGCUAUUAGAUGAGCCUAGGUCGGAUUAGCUAGUUGGUAGGGUAACGGCCUACCAAGGCGACGAUCCGUAACUGGUCUGAGAGGAUGAUCAGUCACACUGGAACUGAGACACGGUCCAGACUCCUACGGGAGGCAGCAGUGGGGAAUAUUGGACAAUGGGCGAAAGCCUGAUCCAGCCAUGCCGCGUGUGUGAAGAAGGCCCUCGGGUCGUAAAGCACUUUAAGUUGGGAGGAAGGGCUUACAGCGAAUACCUGUGAGUUUUGACGUUACCGACAGAAUAAGCACCGGCUAACUUCGUGCCAGCCGCCGCAGUAA